AGUUGCGAACGAACGCAAAAGGCAAAGAAGAUUCCUUCACUGAAGCGCUGCUGCUGCUGCAAAAGGCAAGUCGUCGUGGCAUUUGGUAUCCGCACAUAUACACACACACAUACACAUAGAGUCUCUCUCUCAGACACACACACACACUCUCGUAUCUGCCUGCCUACCAGUGCCCCCGUCACAGCUGAGGAGGUGCCGUGUGUUUGUCUGUGUAAGCGUGCGUUGAGAGGUAAUUGAGAGCGCCAAAUUCAUUGACGAUAAGCUUACAAGCAAAAGAGAGAGAGAAAAGGAGAGCGCCUGAGAGAGCAGUGCUUUACGGUCGGUCAGCGAGAUAGAGAGGAGAGCGCUUAGCCAUCGAUAACAAAAACAACGAAUAGCAAAAGGUUGCUCUGCACCCAGCAAGCACGCCCCACUCGCGCCCCCAUCCACAACCCACGCUCUGAAGUGAAAGACGUUUUGCAAGUGCAUAUAUAGAAAAAAGUCAACGGGAUACUGGACACUGACACGGACACGGGCAACAAAGUCGCCGCCGUCAUCGCACUUACACUUCGACGUACAAAUUGGUUAAUACAACAACAACAACAUCAGCAAUAGCAUCAGCGGUUGUAAUAACAAAAGGAACAGCAACAAAACCAAACAGAAAAAACAAUCAUGGGCAAGAAAGACAAGAACAAGGAACCGGCGGAUGCUGCACCAGUUGGCGAUGCACCCCCAGCCGAUGGUCCACCGGCGGGCGAGGGUGCUGAUGGGGAGAUUGUUGGGGGACCACGCAAUCCCCAGCAAAUUGCGGCACAAAAGCGCUUGCAACAGACGCAGGCUCAAGUCGAUGAGGUCGUGGACAUAAUGCGCACGAACGUGGAGAAGGUGCUGGAACGGGAUGCCAAACUGUCGGAGCUGGAUGAUCGUGCCGAUGCCUUGCAACAGGGCGCCUCGCAGUUCGAGCAACAGGCGGGCAAACUAAAACGAAAAUUCUGGUUGCAGAACUUGAAGAUGAUGAUCAUCAUGGGCGUUAUUGGACUGGUCAUCGUUGGCAUUAUUGCAAAGAAAGACGAAGAAGAAUAAUUUGUGCAAGCUUUUAGCUUUAUAUUUAAUCUGUUUAACAAUCUAAGAAUCAAUUAUCAAAAUGAAAAUCACGUAAAUUUUAUAAUUUUUUGAGAUAAACUAGGCCUCAUAGGGGGCGAGCAGCCGCCGCAGUAUCCGCCGUAUCAGCAGCAGUAU
rnacentral:misc_RNA from 1 species